GUGGGGAAUAUUGGACAAUGGGCGAAAGCCUGAUCCAGCAAUGCCGCGUGAGUGAAGAAGGCCUUCGGGUUGUAAAGCUCUUUUACCCGGGAAGAUAAUGACUGUACCGGGAGAAUAAGCCCCGGCUAACUCCGUGCCAGCAGCCGCGGUAAUACGGAGGGGGCUAGCGUUGUUCGGAAUUACUGGGCGUAAAGCGCACGUAGGCGGCUUUACAAGUCAGGGGUGAAAGCCCGCGGCUCAACCGCGGAAUUGCCCUUGAGACUGUAUCGCUAGAACACGGGAGAGGUGAGUGGAAUUCCGAGUGUAGAGGUGAAAUUCGUAGAUAUUCGGAAGAACACCAGUGGCGAAGGCGGCUCACUGGACCGUAGUUGACGCUGAGGUGCGAAAGCGUGGGGAGCAAACAGGAUUAGAUACCCUAGUAGUCC
rnacentral:rRNA from 1 species